rnacentral:rRNA from 1 species
UACGUAGGUGGCAAGCGUUGUCCGGAAUUAUUGGGCGUAAAGCGCGCGCAGGCGGCCUUUUGAGUCUGAUGUGAAAGCCCACGGCUCAACCGUGGAAGGUCAUCGGAAACUGAAAGGCUUGAGUACAGAAGAGGAAAGCGGAAUUCCACGUGUAGCGGUGAAAUGCGUAGAGAUGUGGAGGAACACCAGUGGCGAAGGCGGCUUUCUGGUCUGUAACUGACGCUGAGGCGCGAAAGCGUGGGGAGCAAACAGG